AUGCAAGUCGAACGAAGGCUUCGGCCUUAGUGGCGCACGGGUGCGUAACGCGUGGGAAUCUGCCCUUGGGUACGGAAUAACAGUGAGAAAUUACUGCUAAUACCGUAUGAUGACGUAAGUCCAAAGAUUUAUCGCCCAGGGAUGAGCCCGCGUAGGAUUAGCUAGUUGGUGAGGUAAAGGCUCACCAAGGCGACGAUCCUUAGCUGGUCUGAGAGGAUGAUCAGCCACACUGGGACUGAGACACGGCCCAGACUCCUACGGGAGGCAGCAGUGGGGAAUAUUGGACAAUGGGCGAAAGCCUGAUCCAGCAAUGCCGCGUGAGUGAUGAAGGCCUUAGGGUUGUAAAGCUCUUUUACCCGGGAAGAUAAUGACUGUACCGGGAGAAUAAGCCCCGGCUAACUCCGUGCCAGCAGCCGCGGUAAUACGGAGGGGGCUAGCGUUGUUCGGAAUUACUGGGCGUAAAGCGUACGUAGGCGGCUUUGUAAGUUAGAGGUGAAAGCCUGGUGCUCAACACCAGAACUGCCUUUAAGACUGCAUCGCUUGAACGUCGGAGAGGUGAGUGGAAUUCCGAGUGUAGAGGUGAAAUUCGUAGAUAUUCGGAAGAACACCAGUGGCGAAGGCGGCUCACUGGACGACUGUUGACGC
rnacentral:rRNA from 1 species